ACGAACGCUGGCGGCGUGCCUAAUACAUGCAAGUCGAGCGGAAUGAUGAAGAAGCUUGCUUCUUCUGAUUUUAGCGGCGGACGGGUGAGUAACACGUGGGCAACCUACCUUGUCGAUUGGGAUAACUCCGGGAAACCGGGGCUAAUACCGAAUAAUCCAUUUUGCUUCAUGGCGAGAUGUUAAAAGGCGGCUUCGGCUGUCACUACGAGAUGGGCCCGCGGCGCAUUAGCUAGUUGGUAGGGUAAUGGCCUACCAAGGCGACGAUGCGUAGCCGACCUGAGAGGGUGAUCGGCCACACUGGGACUGAGACACGGCCCAGACUCCUACGGGAGGCAGCAGUAGGGAAUCUUCCACAAUGGACGAAAGUCUGAUGGAGCAACGCCGCGUGAGUGAAGAAGGUUUUCGGAUCGUAAAACUCUGUUGUAAGGGAAGAACACGUACGAGAGUAACUGCUCGUACCUUGACGGUACCUUAUUAGAAAGCCACGGCUAACUACGUG
rnacentral:rRNA from 1 species